AUUUGAGUAAUUUAUAAAAAAUACAGGUUUGUGGGUUCUGAAAAGCUUUAAGCCUCAAAUU
rnacentral:tRNA from 2 species